AGGAGGGAGGGAGGCAAAGACAGGGGGAGAGAGAGCUCUGCACAACUAUGGUUACUUUGGAAGCAGGGUUCUCCGAAGGACACGUGUAAGAAAGUUAGGUAUCUGAUGCAAGUUGAGAUUGUAAAAUCAUUCACUUUGCAUCUAUUACAUGCAGGCGCCUAACGGUUUACCCUCAACAUGGGAAAUUUUACGUGGGUCAGCUUACUAGCUGCUACCGUGAACGUUAUACAUUCACAUUCGCCUGCCCUUUUUUAUUAACUGCAGCCCAGAAUGGAGUUACAGCCGUGCAUUAUUAAAAUCCGUCUUCGAUUCAAGCAGAGAAUUGAAGAAACAGAAACUAACGUUGCCCUCUCGGCUGCGUUACUGUAAUAGAUCUAAGCAGUGCUUUUUUUCCUGUCCUGCUUCUGUGGUGCAUUUCGGUUCCCUAUCAGGAUCACGUUUGUGGGAGGUCAGCCUGGGAUCGCCCAGGGGGAUUGGCUGGCUUCUGUUCACCUGGGCUCUGCUCUCAACAUUGGCAGUCACCACCCUGGCUCAGCUCUGAAAGACCUGGUCAGGGUAGCUGCGACCGAAAGACCAGCAAAGUGCUAUGGGGGUUAGGGGUGGACGGAGAAGGAUGAAUGGGGGAGGCUGUCGGGGGAGGAGGCAAAGGAACAUGAAUUUCAACUGGGAAAACCCUAAUUCCCGCUUUGAUUCAUUUAAGGAGGGGGAAAACCACUCAGCGAAGGCUCUCUCCAAAACCCAAGACUGUCCAGGUGGCCUGUGAGGCCCCCAAAGUUGCUUGAGGCCCAGCGUGAACCCCAGGUCUGACGGUUAAACUCCUACUCCUUGUCUCCUUACGGGGAUGCCCAGACUGGCUAUUAAGACUGCAUGAAUCAAUGAGUCAAUCAGGUCAGGAGACAAGAAGUAUGCAGAGAAGAAAAUCUGCAGUCAUUCCCGGGACAGAGGGUGGAUCUCCCUUCCCAGUCAUCACUGUUAUCUGUUAUUACUUGUACAAGGAGGGGGCAUAGGAAUCUAGUUAUAGCUUUCUCAGACUUGUAAGUUCUGUUUACCUUCCGAACAGACUUCCCUCUCCCUCCGGGAGCCAGAAACCGUUACCCACAAUCACACACCGAGCUUUGGAGGCCAAGACUUGCACUCCAUUGGUCCCAGCUUUCCCAGUAACUGUUGUCAUAAGCACGUGACCAUAUACGUGUGCUACCACGCCUGGUUUGUAAUGUUUAGAUUUAUUUUACGUGUACGAGUGUUUUGCCUGUAUGCAUGUACAUAUACCACAUGCAUGCCUGCUGUCCAAAGAAGCCGGAAGAGGGUGUGGGAGCUCCGGAACUGGAGAUGUAGAUGAUCUUGAGCCAUUGUGUGGGUGUUGGGAACCAACCCCGUAUCCUCUACAGAAGCAGCAAGCGCUCUUAACGCCAGCCACCUCUCCAGCCCCAGGGCAUUUUGGUGAAGAACCAGAUAUGGUUUUUGAUGUGGUUGUAAGAGUCACAGCCGUGUGUGGGGGGGGGGGGCGGGUUUCCAAUUUGUGAGAGUCCCUCCCUCUCUCUGUGGAAGAGAGGACAAAGCUUGCUCCACGCAUACUGGGCGCCUAGAGCCCCGCCCACUUUUGCUUUAGAACCGAACCUGAGUUUAUGCAUCCGGUAGGCUCAGUCCCAACUGCAGGACUCCAUCAUUGCCGCCCCAGUCUCCAAAAUGUCCGUACAGAUCAACCCCGAGAGUGAAGUGAAUCCAACAGUGACAUCGACAGCGUAGACUAAUAUGUUAAAACGCUGGCUGCAGAGAAGAACCCGCUGCUCUAAGAAGGUUCCGCUAUCACGAAUGGGACUUCCGUUCUGUGUUCCCCCGUUCAAGAGAGCCGGAGACACUUGGCUGAGCUUUUUAAAUCUUUCUUUAACUGAUAUCUCACUUGUUAAAAUCUGUUGUCUGUUAUGUACACGGUAUGGCCAUAGGCAUCAAAUCUGUAUGUGACUACAUCAGGGCAUCGUGGCCCAAAACCUAGUAGCAGUCUUCAUAAGGUGAAACAGGGGGAUUCCAAGUUCAAGACCAGCCUGGAUUCCUUAGUAAGAUUCUAUCUCAAAAAAAUAAAGAUAUUUGGGAAGGGGAACAUUUGAGAUGUAAAUAAAUAAAAUAAUUCGAAAAGUCAUUAA
rnacentral:sRNA from 1 species